rnacentral:miRNA from 1 species
UCUUUGGUCGUUUAGCAACGUUAU